GAAAAGUUAGUUUAAAUAAAACAUUAAUUUGUCAAAUUAAAAAUAUUAAAUUAAUACUUUUCU
rnacentral:tRNA from 1 species